GCGGCAAACGGGUGCGUAAGACAGUGAUUACUUACCUCCAACAUGGGUGCAACCCGGCGAAGGCUGGGCUAAUCCUCAAUAAUAAUGCGGGGUCAUAAGACAUUCGCAUUUAAAGAUAGUCGCAAGAUUGUCGGUUGGAGAAAGGUCUUUGGCCUAUCAGCUAGUUGGUAGGGUAAUGGCUUACCAAGGCAAUGACGGGUCGGGGGUGUGAGAGCACGACCCCCCUCACUGGGACUGAGACACUGCCCAGACACCUACGGGUGGCUGCAGUCAAGAAUCUUCCCCAAUGGCCGAAAGGCUGAGGGAGCGACGCCGCGUGGCCGAUGAAGCCCUUCGGGGUGUAAAGGCCUUUUGUAGGGAAAAAACUCCGAUGGUACCCUACGAAUAAGAGGUUACUAACUCUGUGCCAGCAGUAGCGGUAAUACAGAGACCUCAAGCGUUAUCCGGAUUUACUGGGCGUAAAGCGUUAAACGGCGGUUUUUUAAGUCUAAGGUUAAAUCCUGUGGCUUAACUGCAGGGCUGCCUUAGAAACUAAAAAACUUGAGGCAAGGAGAGGCAAGCGGAAUUGUCGGUGUAGCAGUAGAAUGCGUUAAUAUCGACAAGAACGCCAAUGGCGAAAGCAGCUUGCUGGAAUUGUCCUGACGCUCAAUAACGAAAGCGUGGGGAGCGAUACAGAUUAGAUACCUGUGUAGUCCACGCCCUAAACGAUGGAUGCUAGAUGUUGCUUGCUUCGGCGGGGCAGCACGAUAAGCUAACGCUUUAAGCAUCCCGCCUGGGGAGUACG
rnacentral:rRNA from 1 species